rnacentral:lncRNA from 1 species
CUUGUAGGGGAUCUUCGGGACCCGGGGUCCCAAAGAAAAAAUGAUGUCCCAGCCAUGAGGUGAACACUUGCUUCACUGAGCCCACCCAGGAGAUGACUACGUAAUAUCCACCAUGUCCUCAUCAUCUACAGUGAGCUCAUGGUGUUCGGAACUAACCACUCUCCUGAAAACCAGCCUGCACAGCAGGCUACGUUCAGCGAAGACACACAUUCCCUAAAGCAGCUCAGACGUCCCCCUGGGUCUUCAAAGGCUGUCUCUUUUCUCUUUGUACUGAUAACAUGUUGCCUUCUGGUCUGCAGCCUGCUCAUCAGCCCCAUGGAGUGAACUCGAUAAACAUGUGCUACGAAGAGAUUCUUCUUCAUGAAGAAGCUUUGAACUCACACAAGUUCUCUAAGCAAGCAGCUGAAAGCGUGACUCCUUGGCAAUAGAGGAGCAUCCUUGGGAAGGAAGCACCGAGUUCUCCAGAAGAAUUAAAGGUGACCCAUCGUUGAUUGCUGAGUUGACCAUUUAAGCUGAAACUACCUAAGGAAGUAUAACUGAUGUAAGGGCCAUUUGGUCCAUCUUCUACAUGUG